UACGUAGGGUGCGAGCGUUAAUCGGAAUUACUGGGCGUAAAGCGUGCGCAGGCGGUGCUGUAAGACAGUUGUGAAAUCCCCGGGCUCAACCUGGGAACUGCAUCUGUGACUGCAUUGCUGGAGUGCGGCAGAGGGGGAUGGAAUUCCGCGUGUAGCAGUGAAAUGCGUAGAUAUGCGGAGGAACACCGAUGGCGAAGGCAAUCCCCUGGGCCUGCACUGACGCUCAUGCACGAAAGCGUGGGGAGCAAACAGG
rnacentral:rRNA from 1 species